rnacentral:rRNA from 1 species
UACGUAGGGACCAAGCGUUGUUCGGAAUUACUGGGCGUAAAGCGCGCGUAGGCGGCUUUGUAAGUCAGAGGUGAAAGCCUGGAGCUCAACUCCAGAACUGCCUUUGAAACUACAUCGCUAGAAUCAUGGAGAGGUUAGUGGAAUUCCGAGUGUAGAGGUGAAAUUCGUAGAUAUUCGGAAGAACACCAGUGGCGAAGGCGGUUCUCUGGGACGGUACUGACGCUGAGACGCGAAAGCGUGGGGAGCAAACAGG